AUUGAACGCUGGCGGCAUGCCUUACACAUGCAAGUCGAACGGCAGCAUGAUCUAGCUUGCUAGAUUGAUGGCGAGUGGCGAACGGGUGAGUAAUACAUCGGAACGUGCCCUGUAGUGGGGGAUAACUAGUCGAAAGAUUAGCUAAUACCGCAUACGACCUGAGGGUGAAAGUGGGGGACCGCAAGGCCUCAUGCUAUAGGAGCGGCCGAUGUCUGAUUAGCUAGUUGGUGAGGUAAAGGCUCACCAAGGCGACGAUCAGUAGCUGGUCUGAGAGGACGAUCAGCCACACUGGGACUGAGACACGGCCCAGACCCCUACGGGAGGCAGCAGUGGGGAAUUUUGGACAAUGGGCGAAAGCCUGAUCUAGCAAUGCCGCGUGUGUGAAGAAGGCCUUCGGGUUGUAAAGCACUUUUGUCCGGAAAGAAAUGGCUCUGGUUAAUACCUGGGGUCGAUGACGGUACCGGAAGAAUAAGGACCGGCUAACUACGU
rnacentral:rRNA from 1 species